CAUGGCGGAGAUGAAGUCAUUAUUUUCAACAAUUCUGCAAUUUUACCAGCCAUUUUAACGUUAUAAACGCGUUGGAUUUCUCUGCGAUUUGUAAUCGGGAAAGGCAGUCACAGCUAGAUAUGCUAUUCGUGUUCUGGAGGUUUUAAAAUGCCUGAUUGUUGCAGUGAUAUUCUCGCAACUUUAGAGAAAAGUGAGUGCUUGCGUUUGUUAAUUUUGUUUUGACGUGUUCGGCUGUCUGGACUGAUACCAGGCCAAUACUACCUGCUUUUUGUUAUUGUGUUUAAUUCCUGAUUUUUCUUAGCACAUAAAAAUGGUAGGAAGGAAUUUGACAAGGAAGAUCUUGGGAAUUUGAUCGGUUUUAUUUUGACUUGGCCGCAAAGGUAAGGAAAUUGUCGUAUUUUCAUUUUCAAGAAAUUCACGGAAAGAUGGGUUUCCGUAUAAAGUCCUAAAAGUAAUAUCAUGCAGCAGAUGCUGAUCAAGCAGCAGUUUAUAUCAGAAAAUAAUGUUGAUUCUUUUCCUUAUGUGAGA